AUUGAACGCUGGCGGCAUGCCUUACACAUGCAAGUCGAACGGCAGCACGGGAGCAAUCCUGGUGGCGAGUGGCGAACGGGUGAGUAAUGUAUCGGAACGUGCCCAGUCGUGGGGGAUAACGCAGCGAAAGCUGUGCUAAUACCGCAUACGAUCUAUGGAUGAAAGCGGGGGAUCGCAAGACCUCGCGCGAUUGGAGUGGCCGAUAUCAGAUUAGCUAGUUGGUGGGGUAAAGGCUCACCAAGGCGACGAUCUGUAGCUGGUCUGAGAGGACGACCAGCCGCACUGGAACUGAGACACGGUCCAGACUCCUACGGGAGGCAGCAGUGGGGAAUUUUGGACAAUGGGCGCAAGCCUGAUCCAGCAAUGCCGCGUGCAGGAUGAAGGCCUUCGGGUUGUAAACUGCUUUUGUACGGAGCGAAAAGGCUCUCUCUAAUACAGGGGGCUCAUGACGGUACCGUAAGAAUAAGCACCGGCUAACUACGUGCCAGCCGCCGCAGUAAGAC
rnacentral:rRNA from 1 species